ACUACCGCAGUUUAAGAAAACAUCAGCCUUGUAAGCUGAAGAAUGGGGAUUUAAAAUCUCCCGAUAGUC
rnacentral:tRNA from 1 species